rfam:Halolamina pelagica strain CDK2 SY89_scf01, whole genome shotgun sequence.
CUGACGAUCGCGUCCGGGUCAAUUGCGGACUGCAACACCCGAUCUCCCUGCUCGUCCCGUCGUCGAUGACGGUCGAACAGGGGGAGCGCGUCACAGUCAG